UAAAAUGGCAUAUGUUAUUACCAUAUUUCAACUUUAUCUUCUUUCAGGCCAACUCUAUAGUUGUUUAUAUUUUAGUCUAGAGAAUUGUCAUACAGGAUGUAAAACUUGUAUUUCUGGCUGUAAGAUUUUGU